UACGGAAGGUCCGGGCGUUAUCCGGAUUUAUUGGGUUUAAAGGGAGCGUAGGCCGUUUGGUAAGCGUGUUGUGAAAUGUCGGGGCUCAACCUGGGCAUUGCUGCGCGAACUGCCAGACUUGAGUGCGCAGGAAGUAGGCGGAAUUCGUCGUGUAGCGGUGAAAUGCUUAGAUAUGACGAAGAACUCCGAUUGCGAAGGCAGCCUGCUGUAGCGCAACUGACGCUGAAGCUCGAAAGCGUGGGUAUCGAACAGG
rnacentral:rRNA from 1 species